rnacentral:rRNA from 1 species
AUUGAACGCUGGCGGCAUGCCUUACACAUGCAAGUCAAACGGUAACGGGUCUUCGGAUGCUGACGAGUGGCGAACGGGUGAGUAAUACAUCGGAACGUGCCUAGUAGUGGGGGAUAACUACUCGAAAGAGUGGCUAAUACCGCAUGAGAUCUACGGAAGAAAGCAGGGGAUCGCAAGACCUUGUGCUACUAGAGCGGCCGAUGGCAGAUUAGGUAGUUGGUGGGAUAAAAGCUUACCAAGCCGACGAUCUGUAGCUGGUCUGAGAGGACGAUCAGCCACACUGGGACUGAGAAACGGCCCAGACUCCUACGGGAGGCAGCAGUGGGGAAUUUUGGACAAUGGGCGCAAGCCUGAUCCAGCAAUGCCGCGUGCAGGAUGAAGGCCUUCGGGUUGUAAACUGCUUUUGUACGGAGCGAAAAGGCUCUCUCUAAUACAGGGGGCUCAUGACGGUACCGUAAGAAUAAGCACCGGCUAACUACGUGCCAGCAGCCGCCGUAA